CGGACUGAUCUAAGGGAGGAGGCAACUCUUCCCCCUGGUCGGAAAGUUAUCCAAACUCGGUCAUUUAGAGGAAGUAAAAGUCGUAACAAGGUCUCCGUUGGUGAACCAGCGGAGGGAUCAUUACUGAGUUUACGCUCUAUAACCCUUUGUGAACAUACCUAUAACUGUUGCUUCGGCGGGUAGGGUCUCCGUGACCCUCCCGGCCUCCCGCCCCCGGGCGGGUCGGCGCCCGCCGGAGGAUAACCAAACUCUGAUUUAACGACGUUUCUUCUGAGUGGUACAAGCAAAUAAUCAAAACUUUUAACAACGGAUCUCUUGGUUCUGGCAUCGAUGAAGAACGCAGCGAAAUGCGAUAAGUAAUGUGAAUUGCAGAAUUCAGUGAAUCAUCGAAUCUUUGAACGCACAUUGCGCCCGCCAGCAUUCUGGCGGGCAUGCCUGUUCGAGCGUCAUUUCAACCCUCAAGCUCUGCUUGGUGUUGGGGCCCUACAGCUGAUGUAGGCCCUCAAAGGUAGUGGCGGACCCUCCCGGAGCCUCCUUUGCGUAGUAACUUUACGUCUCGCACUGGGAUCCGGAGGGACUCUUGCCGUAAAACCCCCAAUUUUCCAAAGGUUGACCUCGGAUCAGGUAG
rnacentral:rRNA from 1 species